rnacentral:rRNA from 1 species
GUUUGAUCCUGGCUCAGGAUGAACGCUGGCGGUAUGCUUAACACAUGCAAGUCGAACGGAACCUUCGGGUUUAGUGGCGGACGGGUGAGUAACGCGUGAGAAUCUGCCUCUAGGUCGGGGACAACAACUGGAAACGGUUGCUAAUACCCGAUGUGCAGCAAUGUGAAAGAUUUAUUGCCUAGAGAUGAGCUCGCGUCUGAUUAGCUAGUAGGUGUGGUAAUGGCGCACCUAGGCGACGAUCAGUAACUGGUCUGAGAGGAUGACCAGUCACACUGGGACUGAGACACGGCCCAGACUCCUACGGGAGGCAGCAGUGGGGAAUUUUCCGCAAUGGGCGAAAGCCUGACGGAGCAAUACCGCGUGAGGGACGAAGGCUUUUGGGUCGUAAACCUCUUUUCCCUGAGAAGAAGAUCUGACGGUAUCAGGGGAAUCAGCAUCGGCUAACUUCGUGCCAGCAGCCGCGGUAAUACGAGGGAUGCAAGCGUUAUCCGGAAUUAUUGGGCGUAAAGCGUCCGCAGGUGGCUCUGUAAGUCUGUCGUUAAAGAAUGGGGCUCAACCCCAUACAGGCGAUGGAAACUACAAGGCUAGAGUUUGGUAGGGGUCACGGGAAUUCUUAGUGUAGCGGUGAAAUGCGUAGAUAUUAAGAAGAACACCAGCGGCGAAAGCGCGUGACUGGGCCAGUACUGACACUCAUGGACGAAAGCUAGGGGAGCGAAAGGGAUUAGAUACCCCUGUAGUCC